UACAAGUAAAUUAUAUUGAUUAGCAAAAGCAAUAAUAAAUCUAAAACUAGCUAUUCUUGCAACAGGUGCAAAAGUCUCAUUAUAGUCUAUGAGAUAUUCCUGGCUAAAAGCCCUAGCAACGAGUCGAGCUUUAUAGCGUAAAGGCUUUCCGAAUUCAUCAUUUUUUAUAUUAAACAUCCAUUUGCAAUCUAUAAUAUUUUUGUUAUCUGGCCGUGGUACUAAAGUCCAAUUUUUUAUUUAAAAAUAGAGAAUUUAAUUGCACCUUCCCAAUGAACUCUAUCGUCUCGUGUUUUAAACUGAAAGAUCAUCAGAAUGUGCAUUUGGUUGUUCAAAUUCGACGAUGUCAUGGUUAGUUUUGCGAAUUUUCUGAGGAACUUCAUAAUCAUCAGAUUUACAGGUAUCUGAUUUAUAUCUGUCAGUUUUUUGAGACUUUAUUGACUUUGAAAUGUUGUCAAUGUUAACAUUAUCAUGAGAAUUUACUAUAUUCUCUUCAGGUCGCAACGCAGGCCUGGAUUGAAGUAAUUUGUCUCAUCUACUAUGACAUCUCUGACAGUAAUAAAUAUUUCGCAUUUAGGAUUCCAAACUUUAUAACCGUUUGGUUCGUAUCCCACAAGAAUACCUUUCCAUGACUUAACAUCGAAUUUUGUCUUAUAUAACUUAUCAUGCACAUAAACUGUUGAACCAAAAAAAUUUAAAUAUUUUAUUUGUGUUUUUUUGUUAUGCCACAUUUACGAAUUCAAUCAUCAUGUGACGUAAUUGGUGAAUAAUAUCGUAAUUGAAAAGGAUAUUUCUCUUUAAAUGUACAAGCUGUGUGUGAUGCAGAAAUAAAAUAUAUUAAUGUUGUUCCCCAUGGCCUGGUGCCGCUCAUGAUGCAACAACUUUUGUAAACUCAGUUCUACAAGUUAAUUCAAAUUUAUUGAUAAGAAGGUGGAACUUGAUAAAUGUGCCAACUAAAUUAACAGGUAUAUUUGUUUAUAGCUUAAUAUCGUACAGGUCUACUGAGAAAUCACUGGAUGGUUGUUAAUAGGGCUUACUCAAAUAUACCUUAUUCAUUAACACCAUUUCUCUGACUGACCAGAGAUAUGAUGAAGUACACAUUAAGAAUAGGAAUACUAUAGAGAGAUAUACCGGCAGAAGUUUUAGUUCCAACACUUGAUACAGUUUCAAGUCAAGAAGUUAAUG